rnacentral:rRNA from 1 species
AGUGAACGCUGGCGGUAGGCCUAACACAUGCAAGUCGAACGGCAGCACAGUAAGAGCUUGCUCUUACGGGUUGCGAGUGGCGGACGGGUGAGGAAUACAUCGGAAUCUACUUUUUCGUGGGGGAUAACGUAGGGAAACUUACGCUAAUACCGCAGACGACCUACGGGUGAAAGCAGGGGAUCUUCGGACCUUGCGCGAUUGAAUGAGCCGAUGUCGGAUUGGCUAGUUGGCGGGGUAAAGGCCCACCAAGGCGACGAUCCGUAGCUUGUCUGAGAGGAUGGUCAGCCACACUGGAACUGAGACACGGUCCAGACUCCUACGGGAGGCAGCAGUGGGGAAUAUUGGACAAUGGGCGCAAGCCUGAUCCAGCCAUACCGCGUGGGUGAAGAAGGCCUUCGGGUUGUAAAGCCCUUUUGUUGGGAAAGAAAAGCAGCAGGUUAAUACCCCGCUGUUCUGACGGUACCCAAAGAAUAAGCACCGGCUAACUUCGUG